rnacentral:misc_RNA from 1 species
GAUGAAGAACGCAGCGAAAUGCGAUAAGUAAUGUGAAUUGCAGAAUUCAGUGAAUCAUCGAAUCUUUGAACGCACAUUGCGCCCGCCAGUAUUCUGGCGAGCAUGCCUGUUCGAGCGUCAUUUCAACCAUCAAGCCCCAGGCUUGUGUUGGAGCCCUGCGGCUGCCGCAGCCUCCCAAAACCAGUGGCGGGCUCGCUAUCACACCGAGUGCAGUAGUUUACUCUUCGCUCAGGGCGUGUGGCGGGUGCUAGCCGUGAAACCCCCAACUUCUCAAGGUUGACCUCGGAUCAGGUAGGAAUACCCGCUGAACUUAAGCAUAUCAAUAAGCGGAUGA